CAGCCGCCGCGGGAAUACGGAGGGUGCAAGCGUUAAUCGGAAUUACUGGGCGUAAAGCGUGCGCAGGCGGUUCGUUAAGACAGAUGUGAAAUCCCCGGGCUUAACCUGGGAACUGCAUUUGUGACUGGCGAGCUAGAGUAUGGCAGAGGGGGGUAGAAUUCCACGUGUAGCAGUGAAAUGCGUAGAGAUGUGGAGGAAUACCGAUGGCGAAGGCAGCCCCCUGGGCCAAUACUGACGCUCAUGCACGAAAGCGUGGGGAGCAAACAGGAUUAGAUACCCCGGUAGUCCCUGUUUCUUAUAC
rnacentral:rRNA from 1 species